rnacentral:rRNA from 1 species
CCUACGGGAGGCAGCAGUGGGGAAUAUUGGACAAUGGGCGAAAGCCUGAUCCAGCAAUGCCGCGUGAGUGAUGAAGGCCUUAGGGUUGUAAAGCUCUUUUACCAGGGAUGAUAAUGACAGUACCUGGAGAAUAAGCUCCGGCUAACUCCGUGCCAGCAGCCGCGGUAAUACGGAGGGAGCUAGCGUUGUUCGGAAUUACUGGGCGUAAAGCGUACGUAGGCGGUUAUUCAAGUCAGAGGUGAAAGCCUGGAGCUCAACUCCAGAACUGCCUUUGAAACUAGGUAGCUAGAAUCACGGAGAGGUUAGUGGAAUUCCGAGUGUAGAGGUGAAAUUCGUAGAUAUUCGGAAGAACACCAGUGGCGAAGGCGACUAACUGGACGUGUAUUGACGCUGAGGUACGAAAGCGUGGGGAGCAAACAGGAUUAGAUACCCUGGUAGUCCACGCCGUAAACGAUGAUAACUAGCUGUUCGGUCUCUACGAGACUGAGUGGCGCAGCUAACGCAUUAAGUUAUCCGCCUGGGGAGUACGGUCGCAAGAUUAAAAACUCAAAAGAUAGUACGGACGNGUGAGNGUCGACGAGCACACGGAGGUAGAG